rnacentral:rRNA from 1 species
UACAGAGGUGGCAAACGUUGUUCGGAAUUACUGGGCGUAAAGGGUGCGUAGGCGGGCCUUUAAGUCAGGGGUGAAAUCCGGGAGCUCAACUCCAGAACUGCCUUUGAUACUGAAGAUCUUGAGUUCGGGAGAGGUGAGUGGAACUGCGAGUGUAGAGGUGAAAUUCGUAGAUAUUCGCAAGAACACCAGUGGCGAAGGCGGCUCACUGGCCCGAUACUGACGCUGAGGCACGAAAGCGUGGGGAACAAACAGG